CCUACGGGUGGCAGCAGUGAGGAAUAUUGGUCAAUGGACGCAAGUCUGAACCAGCCAUGCCGCGUGCAGGACGACGGUUCUAUGAGUUGUAAACUUCUUUUGUACGAGGGUAAACGCAGAUACGCGUAUCUGUCUGAAAGUAUCGUACGAAUAAGGAUCGGCUAACUCCGUGCCAGCAGCCGCGGUAAUACGGAGGAUUCAAGCGUUAUCCGGAUUUAUUGGGUUUAAAGGGUGCGUAGGCGGUCGGAUAAGUUAGAGGUGAAAUCCCGAGGCUCAACUUCGGAAUUGCCUCUGAUACUGUUCGGCUAGAGAGUAGUUGAGGUAGGCGGAAUGUGUGGUGUAGCGGUGAAAUGCAUAGAGAUCAUGCAGAACACCGAUUGCGAAGGCAGCUUACCGAGCUACUUCUGACGUUGAGGCACGAAAGCGUGGGGAGCGAACAGGAUUAGAUACCCGAGUAGUC
rnacentral:rRNA from 1 species